UGGGAAAAUGUGUUUUCUGCAUAAGGUC
rnacentral:piRNA from 1 species